CCCAUGCUCUCGAAAGAGUUCAGUGGCUUCAAAGUUGCUGACAAAUUGACAAACUAUGACAGUUGUAAUGACUUACUCUACUCUCAGGAAAUGUUUGGACUUUGAUAUUACCAUUUUCUGGAGACCACAAAUGGACCUGCUCUGGCUUCACCUUACCAGAAGCAAGCUGAGGUAAAAUAGGAAGAAUUUGAAAGGGAAAGAAAUUUCUCUUUUAAAUGCCCUGGAAUCAAUCAUCUUUGUGUGGUCAAAGCAAAUGUUCUAAUGAAACCACUCACAGGAAGGAUGGGAAAGAUCCUCUAUCAGGAGCCAGAGCCCAACGGGAGAUUUACAUAAUAAAGCCUCAUUUCAUCUUUGAAAUCUUUUGAGGCGAUUUUGAACUAUGGUACAGCUCGUAUCUCAGAAACACAACUUCUUCUUAGCUUUGCCAUCUCCCAGGUAAAUGCUAUGCUAAUGGCAAGGUAAAAAUUGGGAUGUUUUCAGACUGACUGCCGGUGGGUGCUAUAAUCAUCAGUGGUUCCUGAAGAAGAGCUGCCUUGGCCCCUUUGGUUUCUAGGAUGUUCUUCAAGAGAGAAAAAGCAUAAAUCAUUUUAAGUUUCAUCACAGGGUCAGAACUUUGGAGCCACCUGAUGUGGCUUUUGUCUGGAAGUUGUUGCAUGUACUUCCGUGUUUGUUCUUUUAAACCGUUGUCCAGCAAAAUCUAUUCUUGAGCCUUGCCACCAUUACCAAUGCCAAGCCAAGAACCAAGCUGGCCUCCCGAUGCCUUUCUAGGGAAUCAGCCAAUUCUAGGAACCCUCAGAGCCAUAGAAUACUAGAAGGACUAGAGUGAGCUUAGUCUCCUACAUUUUGAAAAAGAUAAAAGGAGGAUUUGACUGGCCCAGAGUCCAACUGCACCCUAACACUAUAAUCCUACCCAGAAGCUGGGUCUUGGUAUCACCCCACCAAAGGCCUCGUCCUUAGGCUUUGCUAAUGGUCUAGCUUUCGUAGGCUAAAGACAACUUCACAGGACUCACUGGUGUUAUGAUAGGCAUCAGGAAGCCUUCUUUUAUUGAAAAUGUAUUUAGUGUGGGACAGAAUCCAAUUUCCUACAACAUGUAAAUUACCUACGCUGAAGUACUUGUACGUAUAAACUUAUAAGGCCUUCCUUUACCUUUGGGUUAACACAGACGUUGGUGCAUGUUAAGAGAAUUUAAAUAUUAUUUACUUUAAUGCCUUAAUUUUACAGGUUAAAAAAAAAGAGAGCGAAAACAGAAGAAAUAGCCGGUAUAUGGCAGAGACAUUUUGACGCUUCCUCCACAAUUCCUUACAUGAUUAUGUUCAGAGAGCCCAGAAAUUAGGAAGAAGCCAUAUACAUGUUUUACUUCAAUGGCUUAGUCCCAGGGUCAACCGGUGAAUGGGGAUGGCAUGAUAAUAUUUGACAUCCGGUUUCGGGGGGACUUUGUUUCAUUAAAAAUUGAUUUUUUUU